ensembl:lncRNA
CUUAGAUCAAGGAUAGAAGUGGAGGUUAUAGGAUGUAAUAGGUUUCUGGCUUUUUUUUUUUUAAAAAAGAGAGCCACAGUAUUUCUGGUAAAGUGGAUCUGACACAUAGGCAUAGAAGGAAUGAAGGUUGAUCGCAAGAUUUUAACAAGUGCUUGGAAGGAACAGAGGAAGGAAAAAUAAGAUAAGUUCUGUCUACAUUGAUUGUCAACAGACAUCUCACCAAAUCACUGCUGAACUGGAGCUAGAAGCCAAGAAUGGUUCCCAAGCCUAUGGUCAAGGAAAUUUACAGGCUUCAAGAUUACACCAAGCAAAAGACCCUGGUUGCAGUGGGUUCUGUUUGCUUUUCUUCUUUUGGAGUGACUCUUACAUAGGAUGAUAUGAAAAUGAAUUUCUGACCCUUUUUCUCAUAACUGGAGAUAUUAUUUCUACAAGUGUGAAGAUUGCAAGCAAUGUGUCUGCCUUCUUUGAUGCUGAAUUUAAAGGGAAAUAUAUGACUGAGGGAACUGGAGCUGACAUUUCAUUGCAUGGUGACCUUAUUCCAAUAGAGAAAUAAGAUGGUGCAGUGCCAAGGAGCAGCAGCUCCGCAGGUGCAGGAGGGCCGAGAGGAGCUACUCCAUAUUCAAGGUCAGGAGAGGUGGGUGUGAGAAGACAUCUCUCAUCCAAGACUUUGAAGAUGAGAAAAGGGAGCCAUGAGCCAAGGAAUGUGAGUGGCCUCUAGAAACUGGAAAAGACACGUGAAACAGAUUCUCCCCUAGAUCCUCCACAAAGGGAACUCAGUCCUGUCAACGACUUAAUUUUAGCCCAGUGACACUUCUAUCAGACUCUGAUCUUCAGACCUGUUGCAUAAUAAACAUGUGCUUUUGUGCUGCGUAAGAC